GCAUUUGAUGUGUGUGCCACGUUGCUUCUUACACAAUAUAUGAUAAUAGGGAAGCUGAAUGAACAGUGCCAAAGACCACCUGUUCAUUCAGCCACAUAUGAAGGGAUGGGUGGUUCUCAGGUGGCAUUUGAUGUGUGUGCCACGUUGCUUCUUACACACGUGUUGCUUCCCCUAAUUUCCAACCUCCUAAUUGUAUCAAUCACUGAUGGAGAGAGACCUGAAAGAGAGAGAGGGGUUCUGCUAGACAGAGAGAGUUCAGAGAAGAUAUGCGACACAGCAGACAGAGAGGCAGGGUGGGGUGCUUCCACGUCUCCGGCGGUUAAACCGUUGGAAUGGGUGAGAACCCGGUGCCGGGUUCUCUGGCGGUGAGAGACCUGGGAUUUCUAGGGUUCCGACGAGGUCCGGUGAGAACCUGGUGACCUGAACCAGGUAUGCAUGUACCCUUUAUAGUCAGAUUGGGUCAUGGUUGUGGGUUACAACGGUGGUGGUGGUAGGGACGUGGUGGAAACCGGUCACGGAUAGGGUAGAGAGAUACAUCUGGAGAGGAGAGAAAUAGAGUAGAGAGAGGCGACUGUUAGGGCAAAGGUUUCACCGUCGAAGAAGUAGGGCCAUCUGACGGAGAUCACCAGUAGGAGGCUGAAGUCGAAGGAGAAAGCAACGGUGAAGGUGGCGCUACAGGUUUAAGAGAUAAAACAUCCGAUGCCGGCGCAGAAGCCGGUGAAAAUGAGGGUGCUGAAGCAGGAGAUUUACCGAAUUAGAUCCGUACAUCGGCGGCCUUAAACGCUUCAACCGGCGGUGCAAACCCUAUGAAUCCUUUCCCCGUUGCUUUCUGACUAUUGUGGAAAGUGAAGUAUGUACAAAUGGAGCCUGAAAUUCCACCUUAAUCUAGCGUUCAGGGAGACCCCUAUAGAAGUCAGAAUAUGAAGAAGCUGGGUUCCACACUUUUAGACAGUACGAAACUUGGUUUUCAUUACUCACCAGUGAUGUAAGUUCACAAUUACAACGUUGCUACGUGUUGAAAAAUGAAGAUACACCAUAUAUAGUUUACUUAUUUAUUUAUAAAAAUGUGAAAUUUGAUUUAGGGAUGAAAUCUGAUGCUAAAGCCACACGUCCAUUGCUACGUGUUGCCACUUUUUCCAGUUUUUUUAUGCUCUCGCUCAUUUGAAUAUUCAGGAAAGGGGUGAUGAUGAUUAUGAUGAUAAGCACUGUAUGAACCAUACCUGGAAUUCUGACCCAUAACUGGAUUUCUAGCAUGCAUCUAUUUGAGAUUUCUAGCAUGUUAUUGACGAAAUAUAAUAAAACAAAAUGAAAACAGUAACAAAAACAUAAUAUUACAUAAGAAAUGAUCGAUGUGUUACAGUUUUGUUGUUUGUGUUACAGAUAAGUGGCGUCUUCCAAAGAUCCAUGCUCCAGAGAAAAAAAUACAGUAUUGAGACCAAACGUGAUAACUUACAGUCUCUUUUGACGAAGCUUUCUGCUAGCCUUUGCUUAACAAUUGGUACUUCAAGUGAACUGAUUCUGUAUGUGUUGUUUUUGUGCUUACAAAUGAUUCUUUUUAAUAUUUUCUGGGUAGACUUUUGAGAACCUGUUUAAAACUGACUGUCUACUUAAUGAAGUCUAUGGCUCGAGGCCGAGAGGUAGUUCGAUCAGGCUAUCAUAUUUGUAUAGUUA